GACGAACGCUGGCGGCGUGCUUAACACAUGCAAGUCGAACGGAAAGGCCCUGCUUUUGUGGGGUGCUCGAGUGGCGAAGGGGUGAGUAACACGUGAGUAACCUGCCCUUGACUUUGGGAUAACUUCAGGAAACUGGGGCUAAUACCGGAUAGGAGCUCCUGCUGCAUGGUGGGGGUUGGAAAGUUUCGGCGGUUGGGGAUGGACUCGCGGCUUAUCAGCUUGUUGGUGGGGUAGUGGCUUACCAAGGCUUUGACGGGUAGCCGGCCUGAGAGGGUGACCGGCCACAUUGGGACUGAGAUACGGCCCAGACUCCUACGGGAGGCAGCAGUGGGGAGUAUUGCACAAUGGGCGGAAGCCUGAUGCAGCAACGCCGCGUGCGGGAUGACGGCCUUCGGGUUGUAAACCGCUUUCGCCUGUGACGAAGCGUGAGUGACGGUAAUGGGUAAAGAAGCACCGGCUAACUACGUG
rnacentral:rRNA from 1 species